rnacentral:rRNA from 1 species
GACGAACGCUGGCGGCGUGCCUAAUACAUGCAAGUCGAACGGAAAGGUGCUGCGUUUGUGGGUUGCUCGAUUGGCGAACGGGGGUGUAAAACGUGAGUAUCCCGUCCUUGUCAUUCGGAUAACUUCUGGAAACUGGGGCGAUUACAGGGGAGGAUCUACUGCACCAUGGUGUUGGUUGGAAAGUGUCGGCCGUGUGGGAUGGACUCGCGGCUUAUCAGCUUGUUUGGGUGGUAGUUGCAUACCAAGGGUAAGACGGGUAGCCCGCAUGGGAGGGUGACCGGGCACAUUGGGACUAAGAUACGGACCAGACUGCUACGGGCGGCAGCAGUGGGAAAUAUUGCACAACGGGCGGAAGCCUGAUGCAGCAACGCCGCGUGCGGGAAGACGGCCUUCGGGUUGUAAACCGAUUUCGCCUGUGACGAAGCGUGAGUGACGGUAAUGGGUAAAGAAGCACCGGCUAACUACGUG